rnacentral:rRNA from 1 species
CAGUCGCCACGGGAAUACGGAGGGUGCGAGCGUUAAUCGGAAUAACUGGGCGUAAAGGGCACACAGGCGGUGACUUAAGUGAGGUGUGAAAGCCCCGGGCCUAACCUGGGAAUUGCAUUUCAUACUGGGUCGCUAGAGUACUUUAGGGAGGGGUAGAAUUCCACGUGUAGCGGUGAAAUGCGUAGAGAUGUGGAGGAAUACCGAAGGCGAUGGCAGCCCCUUGGGAAUGUACUGACGCUCAUGUGCGAAAGCGUGGGGAGCAAACAGGAUUAGAUACCCGCGUAGUCCCUGUCUCUUAUAC